AACGAACGCUGGCGGCAUGCCUAACACAUGCAAGUCGAACGAGACCUUCGGGUCUAGUGGCGCACGGGUGCGUAACGCGUGGGAACCUGCCCUUAGGUUCGGGAUAACUCCCCGAAAGGGGUGCUAAUACCGGAUAAUGUCUUCGGACCAAAUAUUUAUCGCCUUUGGAUGGGCCCGCGUUGGAUUAGCUAGUUGGUAUGGUAAAAGCCUACUAAGGCGAGGAUCCAUAGCUGGUCUGUGAGGAUGAUCCGCCACACUGGGACUGAGACACGGCCCAGACUCCUACGGGAGGCAGCAGAGGGGAAUAUUGGAAAAUGGGCGAAAGCCUGAUCCAGCAAUGCCGCGUGAGUGAUGAAGGCCUUAGGGUUGUAAAGCUCUUUUACCCGGGAUGAUAAUGACAGUACCGGGAGAAUAAGCUCCGGCUAACUCCGUG
rnacentral:rRNA from 1 species